rnacentral:rRNA from 1 species
AACAAACGCUGGCGGCGUGCCUAAUACAUGCAAGUCGAACGGGGAAAGCUUUCGGGUGAGUACUAGUGGCGCACGGGUGAGGAACGCGUGGAUAAUCUGCCUUAGAGUGGGGGAUAACUAGUCGAAAGAUUAGCUAAUACCGCAUAAGACCACGAGAGCUGCGGCUUUUGAGGUCAAAGGUUUUUCGCUCUAAGAUGAGUCCGCGUAAGAUUAGCUAGUUGGUGAGGUAACGGCUCACCAAGGCGACGAUCUUUAACUGGUCUGAGAGGAUGAUCAGUCACACUGGAACUGAGACACGGUCCAGACUCCUACGGGAGGCAGCAGUAGGGAAUAGUGCACAAUGGAGGAAACUCUGAUGCAGCGACGCCGCGUGAGGGAUGAAGGCCUUCGGGUCGUAAAGCUCUGUCGCAGGGGAAUAACACAAUGAAGGUACCCUGUAAGAAAGGAUCGGCUAACUUCGUG